rnacentral:tRNA from 1 species
GUUUGUGGCUCAGAGGUAAAGUGCUUGCCUAGUAUGUGCGGGACCCUGGGUUUGAUCCUCAGCAACACA